CCCGCCACCGUCCCGCAACCAGCCAACGAGUUGGGGAUUUUUGCCACCCCCACGUGCGCUCUCAGAACUCCAUCUCUUUGGUUACUCAAAAUCAACCCAAUUCUCCGAAAAAAAAAAAAAUCAACCCAACCGGCGCCACCACUCCCGGUGCAUCUCUCCGUUGCCGAAAAUAUGGUGAAGCCCUCUGCCAAUUCGCGGAGCAAGAGAGCAGCUAUGAAGGCCACCACUGAAGAAGAUCCAGCGCGUAAACGGUUUAUUCCUGACGCUUCGGAAUCGAGAGAGAAGGUGAUGAAGAUGAGAUCUUAGAUCCGAGAAGAGAGAGAGAGAGAUUCGACGCUUGGGAUGGUUGCCAGAGUCUUGCCGAAGGUGGAGAAGAGUUGGGAUGCAGCGGCGAAGGGUGAAACGAGGGUUUGAGAUCGAUUCUUGUGGAAUCGAUCGAAUGACCCUAAAUCGAUUUUUAAACACAUUCCCUUGCCAGUUCAAUUGAUCGAACUGAAUCCUCAGAUCGAUCGAACUGACAUCGAUCUCUCCUCUAAAGUGACAAAAUAUUUUUUGGAAUUUUUGAAAAAUAAAAAUAAAUAAAAUAAAAGUAUUUUUAGGAUUUUUUUUUUUUUUUUUUUUUUUUUUGAAAUGAAGAAUUUAAAACAAAGUCAAAACAAAGUCAAAAUUUAAAGUCAAAGAACAAAGAUCGAUCGAUCGAGAAUGCAUAGAUUUGAAGAAAUGUUUGAUCGAUGGGACAGAGAGGCUUUUAGAUGCAGGUUGAUGCAGGUUCAAAAUUUUUCUAAGUGUUGGAACUGCAGAUCGAUCCAAGAUAAAGUGGGAUCGAUCGAAGAACUAAAGAUCGAUCUAGGAACAAGUUCAAACGAUGGGACAGAGAGCUGAAAUAUGCAGGUUUUGUUCGAACGAUUGGACAGAGAGUGAUUUGGAUGCAGGUUUGAUGCAGGUGGGAAGUUCAAUCGAUCGAACUCAUUUUAAGAUCGAUCGAACUUAUGCAAAAUGCUUAAUUUCAACGUAAAAAUGCAUGCAAUCCUAAUCACAGUUCCUAGCAAUGCAUAUGAACCCAAAGCCAAUAUCUAGACUUCACAAGAAAUGAAAUUAAAGAUAGAAAUGAGGGAGGAAUAGGGUUUUGACACCCUACGAAAUGCUUUUGUUAGUCUUUAACGUCUCUAGCAAGACGUUGGGCUCUUUUAGCCCUGAUCAAACAUCUUGUAAUGCAUCCCCUCCUUGUUGGGGUGAUAAGUGCUUCGAACUCCACCCAACAAAUGGUUCUUUAAGGAACUUGUUGGAUUAAGCUCAAAAGACGUUUUCGGUCCUUGGUCAAUGCAAUCUUUGGGCUUCCAUGCCCUUUCACAAUAAGAAUUUGAAACAAUUUUCUUAGAAUGUAGGGUUGAAGAUGAAUCUUUUGAAACUUUGGUUUCACUCAAAAACUCUAUUCCUUCACUUUUAAGGUCAUGACAUUUUUCUACAACAUUAACCUCUUCAUGCUUAUCAAUUGAGUUGGGGGUUGGAUUGAAAAUAUUCAACUUCACCUUCAUGUGGCCAAAUGAGAUUUUCAUUAUCCCCGUCCUACAAUUGAUGUUGGCAUUCGUGGUUGCCAAGAAAGGAUGGCCAAGGAUAACGGGAAUUUGGCUCUUAAGAUUCAGGACCGGUUCCAUGUCAAUGACAACGAAAUCAACGGGAAAGAAGAAUUUAUCAAUUUUAAUCAAGACAUCUUCAGUGAUACCCCUAGGCUUUUUGAUUUAUCGGUCGGCAAGUUGUAAAACCACCGACGUCAGUUUCAAGUCUCCUAAGCCUAAUUUGACAUAUACCAAGUAUGGAAGAAGGUUAACACUUGCUCUUAGGUCAAGAGAGCCCGAUUCAUGAUAAGAUCACCAAUGAUGCAUGAAGUGGUAGGUGAACCAGGGUCCUUAAACUUUGGAAGAGUGUUAUGCUGCAAAAUUGAGCUUACUUGCUCAGUUAAGACCACUUUUCUAUUUGCUUGGCUUUUAUUCUUCCUAUUUUGGGUGCAUAAAUCUUUUAAGAACUUGGCAUAAGCCGGAAUUUACUUGAUUGCAUCCAAAAGCGGAAGAUUAACUUUCACUUACCUAAACACAUCCAUAAUCUCAUUUGCUUUGAUCUUUUGCUUGUCAAUUGAAAUGGAUCCUUUUAAAACAUCUGAUAAGCGCCGAAUAUUGUAUAUUCAAGCGCCCUAAAUUGCAUUAGUAAAGUCCGUUGUAUGUUAAUUUAUGUAGAUUAUCUUCAUUUCUAUGUUUUUAUGCAUUUUCAGGUUCCUUGGCCCAAAAGGAGCAAAAAUAAGGUGUUGUGGAUUUUUGAUCAACAAUGUGCUCAAAAGCUGAAUUUCAGGCAGCAGUGGAACUCGAUUUUGAUUGCCACUUCUGACCCAGAAAGCUCGAGAUCUGGACUUCCAUUAUAAAAUGGAAUAUUUAGAGCUCUGCAUUAGCUUUCUAAAUCUUCAAACGGUUUGUCAUUCGGAGCUCGGAGCAGAGAGUUAUGGCCUUGUUACCAGAGGUACACAGAACUGCCUAGCAGCAAUGAAAUUCUGCCUUGAUCUUCAUUUUCGACCAACCAUCCUUGAGAAUUGGAUCUCCAUCAAAACAUGAGGUAUUUAAAGCUCUGAAUUAGCUCUCCAAAUCUUCAAACGGUUUGUCAUUCAGAGUUCGGAGCGCAAAGUUAUGGCCAUUUCAUCAAAGUAGGUCCGGGCGGAGCAAAUGGAGAAUAGGCAUUCUGCCCAAUUUUCGAGUGCUCGAGGCCCAAAUUCGAGCACUCGAAUUUAGGGCAGUUUGUCUCCGAAAAAUCACUAUUUCAGCCACUUGUUUCUUGGUUCCUUCAUUUUCUGAUUUCCUUCUUGAUGAGGUGGUUGGAGAUGUUCCUAGGAGGGGGGGGGGAGAGAGAGAGCCUAGUUUGGUGGUAGAUAAGAGGGAUAAGAGCCACACAUCUCCUAAGCUAGUUUUGAUCAGAUUUUGGGGAGAGAAGAGAGCAAGGAGAUAGAGUUCUUCAAGCUUGAAGAAGGGAGCACGAAAAUGGAAGAGGUCUUCAAGCUUCUUCCUUCUUCCAUUGCUCCUAUGGGUAACUAAAUCUUCUCUAGGGAGGUGAUGAAGCCCCUCCCUUGUAAGCAUGUUCUAGUGUAGAUUUUACUUUUGGGAUUUCAAUGUAUUAUUGUUGGUGAUUUUAUGAUCUAGAGUAUCAUAUGUGUUGUAAUGAAUUCUAAUGUCUAUACAUGAUUAUUUUGAGCUAUUCAUCUUGUCUUAGAUGGUUUCUCUUCCUAAUCAUAUUGCUUGCAUUUCCAUAGUGACAAUGGAAGUUAGAUCAUGGAAUGGUUUUAAUGGCAUGGAGUUUGAGAACUUUGAUAAAUCAUUGCUUAGGAUGCCCUUUGAUGGUUUAUACUUGAUUCUUAACUUUGUGUGCUCUCAUCAUUUAAUUAAGGGCUUGAUAAUCUUUGGCUUAGGGAGCAUGUUAAAGACUACACCUUAGUUUAGGUAGUUCAAGCAUGUGAAUCUUUGAUGGAUUAUUCUUGUUUUUGAUUUAAUGAACCUCUUGAGGAUAGUAUAGCAACCAAGGGUUGUUAUGUGUCAUGACCAUCAUUUAUGUUGAUUUUCCCAAUUUAAUCUCAAUCUAGAAUGUGUAUAGGGUUGGAGCGGAUUCAUUUCCCUAGUUUUUCUCUACUUGUAUUUCAUCUCUUUUUAAUUCUUGCAAGUUUCUAAUUUAUGCAAUUUCAAUAUUCUUAGCUUAAGUGACAAACAACAAAACCUUUAUAAACCCUUCAUCAUUCUAGAAAGAUUCUAGACACUAAGGUUGCCGUAAGACUAACGCAGUCCUAGUGGUUCGACUUACCCAACCAAUAGCCCUAUUUUACAAUGAUUCGUGCUAUUGCGAAGGUUGAUGUAUAGUUGAUCAACCGAUCAAUUUUUGGCGCCGUUGCCGGGGACUGCAAACGGUUUA